GCCUGGGUGGCUCAGUUGGUUGAGCAUCUGACUUUGGCUCAGGUCGUGAUCUUGCGGUUCGUGGGUUCAAGCCCUGCGUAGGGUU
rnacentral:tRNA from 1 species